rnacentral:lncRNA from 1 species
AUGGUUUUGCUGAAUUUGAUAUUAUUGUUAUUAGGGAUUUGGCGAACUGAUUCAAGGUGUGUGUAUGUUAUCUGAGUAGAUCAGCGUUACCUACGACAACUGAAAGACACGAGGUGAACCAUUUAUCACUUUAUAUCAUUCUGAUCGGCUUGCAUGUUUCGCUCCUCUUUAGAUCUAAUAACUAACUUCUGUUGGAUUGGAGUUUGAUACAAUGGUUCUUCUAAAUUCUGACAACCUUUGGAUCUCGAAUGGUUUGGUGAAAGUUAUAUUGGGUUUAUAAUCCUCAACUCAAGAAAGGCGUCAUAUAAGGCUAUUUAGUCGAGUUAAACUUCCGGCGACCAUACAUAGAGUUGCACGCCUGUUGUUUGGUUUUGUGCGUUUUAUUUUUUUUUAGCUGCGCGUCACACGUACGUGUCAGGCUCCCUUUUAUUUUUUCCCUCUAUUAUAAAACCAUGCUAAUCCUUUUAUUUUUUUUCUUUACAUUCAUAGGCUAUCAACUGAGACUUUGGAGAAUAUCCACUAGCAAUCUCAAGUAAAAGCAAAGAAUUCAGAGACAGAGAGAGUGAAACCGCU